GUGGGGAAUUUUGGGCAAUGGGCGCAAGCCUGACCCAGCAACGCCGCGUGAGGGAUGAAGGCCUUCGGGUCGUAAACCUCUGUCGGGAGGGAAGAAUGGCGGCCGUUCAAAUAGGGCGGCCGAUUGACGGUACCUCCAAAGGAAGCGCCGGCUAACUCCGUGCCAGCAGCCGCGGUAAUACGGAGGGCGCAAGCGUUGUUCGGAAUCACUGGGCGUAAAGCGCGUGUAGGCGGUCUGGAUAGUCGGAUGUGAAAUCCCGGGGCCCAACCCCGGAACUGCAUUCGAAACUGCCAGGCUGGAGUCCCGGAGAGGAUGGCGGAAUUCCCGGUGUAGAGGUGAAAUUCGUAGAUAUCGGGAGGAACACCAGUGGCGAAGGCGGCCAUCUGGACGGUGACUGACGCUGAGACGCGAAAGCGUGGGGAGCAAACAGG
rnacentral:rRNA from 1 species